UAAGCUACAGCAGCAGUCGCGGGGGGGUGUCCAUAAUCGUCGAGAAAGGCCCCACCACCAUCAGUUACCUGCUAAUUACCUGGGCCCGCGUGGAGGACAACGGUGUGUACAGUUGCGUUGCCAACAACCUCAACGCCACCUCUGCCACGCUGCAUGUUCUCAAUGGAAUUAUGUUGAUGAGCCAGACACCUAAGGUCAGGGAUGUUUGGCCCAACCUGCGGAUAUGACCCCGCAGUUGCGGCGCCAAGCGCAGAACGCCCCAACCUGCGGGUGACCAACACUGAGAACUGCAGAGGUGUGCUAGCCAUCAGGGAUGGCACCAGCAGCAGGUGGAGCAAGCCAGGGGAGUCGGCACCAUCCCAAACUUUGAGUGGAACAUGAAUGGCUGACUAUUCCUAGCGGGUCUGAGCACGGGAACCCCCCACCAUGUCUUUUAUCUGUGGCUUGACAAGACCUUCUGAAGUGUGAUUCCACUGUGGGAGUCAUCUCCAUCCAGGCAAGUACGUGUUACCUGUUGGAGUGUUCCAACACCUGGCACGGUUCACAGUGCACCACACCUGAAAGAAAAAUGACUCCAGUAUAAAAGUAUUACCA